AACGAACGCUGGCGGCAGGCCUAACACAUGCAAGUCGAGCGAGAUCUUCGGGUCUUGCGGCGGACGGGUGAGUAACGCGUGGGAAUAUGCCUCUUGGUACGGAAUAGCUCCCGGAAACUGGGAGUAAUACCGUAUGUUCUCUUUGGGGGAAAGAUUUAUCGCCAAGAGAUUAGCCCGCGUUGGAUUAGGUAGUUGGUGGGGUAAUGGCCUACCAAGCCGACGAUCCAUAGCUGGUUUGAGAGGAUGAUCAGCCACACUGGGACUGAGACACGGCCCAGACUCCUACGGGAGGCAGCAGUGGGGAAUCUUAGACAAUGGGGGCAACCCUGAUCUAGCCAUGCCGCGUGAGUGAUGAAGGCCUUAGGGUUGUAAAGCUCUUUCAGCUGGGAAGAUAAUGACGGUACCAGCAGAAGAAGCCCCGGCUAACUCCGUG
rnacentral:rRNA from 1 species